ensembl:lncRNA
UACAAAACAGGGCACCACUCAGACUAUGAACAGGGUGUCUGAGUGUGUGUAGCCAGGGAACCAGCCGGGAGGAGAGGCCAUUAGCUCGGAAAGCCCGGCUUUAGCAACACUGCAUUGCCACUGUGACACAUUGUAGUUGUAUUUAUCUGCUCAUCUCCAUUGUAAUAUCGUCUAUAGAGUAAUGAUUCUGAUGCUAACCAUGCAUAUAAUGACAUUUCCUUAACAUAUGUGUCUCCCCUGGCAACAAGACAGAGGGUAGUGCUUGAUGUACGUGAUGAACGGUGCUUCCUCUCUGAGACGUGACAGUGAUAUGUGCAGAGAUCGAGAUCUGGUGUUCCGGAAGGUGUUUUACAAAUAUUUGUGGUAUGCUCGCGGCUUCCCUGAGAUGCUCAACCUGUCGGACUGUGUUUCAUUUUGCUGUCAGUGAGACCUGUGUAUGACGGGAAACUUCUGGUCAUCAGGUGUACAGUUCUCCUCAACCUGAAUAUAUGAUUGACAGCAGUGAUAACAUGCAAAUCAGAAUGGUUUAUUUGGUACUCGUAAUGUGAAUUAUUAUUUAUAUUUUUUAUUGUUGUUAUUAUUGAAACAUCCCAUGUGAUAAACUCUCUUGUCCCUGUGUUCCCUUGUGAGUUGGUCCCAAAUCUCCCGAAGGCAUCUAAUGGUGAGUGCAUAAAUCAAUGGUGCAGCCUGACCUUUUUACACCAACCGCGCCACGAUGGAUACCUCCUAUUAGCCCUUAAUUGGGUUUGCAAAUGCCUAACUUAAUUUCACUUUGGAUGCAGGAAACAUGCAGGAGGAAGGUGAUGUCAUUUAUGAAGCUGUGGAAACAAUCUUAAAGUUGAGCGGAAUUCAGUGCCCGUUGAAUCAUUACUGGGUGAGCUCACUGGUUAAGCGAGUUUAACCGAAUUUGAACUUUGCGCAAAUAAGAUGUGACAUGUGGAAGCUAAGCAUUUAAUUAAUUAUUUAUUGGAAAAA